CCAAUAGCGUAUAUUAAAGUUGUUGCAGUUAAAAAGCUCGUAGUUGAAUUUCGGGAUCAGAUUGUUGGUCGUGCCUCGGUACGCACUGGCAUUAUUGGUUCCUACCUUCUGAAGAACCGCGAUGUCAUUAAUUUGGUGUCGUGGGGAAUCAGGACUGUUACUUUGAAAAAAUUAGAGUGUUUAAAGCAGGCGCACGCUUG
rnacentral:rRNA from 1 species